AAACAUGUGGUUAAGCUCUGUGUUUAAUACUCAAUUAGAGCAUCCUUUAUGAUCACUGAUAACGUGAGAGCAGCCAACUUCCGAUCCCAUAUUAGAAAUCAGUGAAAAAAAAAUCAGUGUAAAGAUAGAGGAUCUCGAACUUAGAACUGUGUAUUAAUGAAAACUAUUGAUUUUUUUCUUAGCAUUAAAAGAAACAAUGCUCUGGAAUGAAUCUGACACCAAUCAUGUAACUGUAGGGGAAGCAUGCGUUUUCACAUUUGCCUGGUGCCCUGGAUGUGACAUCCCAGCUUAAGCACUACUACAUUCCUGCCCAUCUGAAGAAGCUUGCUUCUGUAACGGGAACUUGAUUCAUAGGACCCUUCCGGAACACCUAGUCUAACCAGUACAUUCGUUAUGUGAGAGGGCUGGAGAGCCAGAUUUACGGCCCCCCAUAAUUAUGUGGAUGGAGCAGCUCCCAAUUACGCUAACGUGGCUGAAUGUGGCUGGAGAAGAGUAACAACUGUGUUGACUGGCUUCACUUUACAUUCCUGACCCUUAAUCUCAAGUGGGCACUUCACACUGCCCGGCACUCAUACUGGGACUCUAACUCAGUCAUCC